rnacentral:lncRNA from 1 species
AGCCGCUGAAUAAUCAAUUCUCGCCUUGCUGGGGACAUUAAGAACGAGGAGCGGUGUUGGGAGCGGCAGCCGAUCCCGGCGGGCUCACCGCUGUGGGAUCCUCGGAUCUCCUCGCUGGCUGCAGCAUUUCCAUCACCUGCCACAAACUGCUGCAAGAAACCGGCGGGUCUGGGCUCUGCCAGCCCCUUCCAGCGCAGGACAGGAGCUCUAGGACAGACACAGAACAGGACCAGAGCCACGACCCCGAGACAAGGAGCCUUUCUUCCCUUGACAGGCUCCGGCUGCCCGAGACAAAAUAUCCGGAGCUGGGAUUCACUGGCUCUCUUUGCUGCCCAGGAGCAUGAGGGGCUGCAGAAGGAGGUGGCAGCAGCUCAGUGGUCCCCGUCAGCCCCCACACACCCCAACUGUGCCCAACACCUCUGGACACUGCUCUGCUGGGAUCACAGGUUGGUCUGCCCCUCCCUGGUGCCAGGAGCUGGCACUGCCAUGCCUGUCCCUUGUCCCCUGCUGGACCCCUCUGAGGACAUUUCCUUUCCUGAGGGCAGGCCCCACACCCUUUCCCUUGGUGAAUUUUUGGGAGAUGAGGCAGGCUGUGUCCCUUCCCUUGCCUGGCGCCUCUGUGCCCCAUCUUCCACCCUGGCACAGCCUGGCUGCAGUCACACACAGCCACAGUGGUGGGGUGCAUCCCACCCCUCCUGUCCCACCUCCAGCUCCCAGGGAAGCAGGUCAGGCUUGAGGAACCAUCCCCAAACCCUUCUGACCAUCCCUGGGAGCAGCUCUGCUGACCCCAGCACAGACAGAAACCCUGUGUGGGGAACCCCAGGAUGAUUCCCAUGAGCCAGAGGGUCCCUGUGGGGAGAUCCUGGAGCAGCUCUGGUGACAUCCUGGUGUCCCACCAGAGCUGGGCUGCCUCCAGGCUGGGAGGGGCUGCCACUGGAGUUUGUGCAGCCAGGAAGCACCAGGGGAUCCCAGUGUUUAGUGCUGGGAAAUAGCAAUUACUCAUCACCCACAGCCUGGCUGCGACAGGGAGCGAUUCCAGCACUAAACCCGCUCCACGCUGGAUUUAAAGAGAGGAGAAAAGCAAAAUCCUCUUAACUUUGUGACCUGUAAAAUGCCCAGUGUGGGAACGAGGAGCUGGGCAUGCGCCCACUGAGGGCUGGGCUGGCCGUGGGCACGGCAGCUGCUCUGUGUCACCACUGUCACCACUGGGCUGGCUGGUGCCACCGGGAGGGGACAGAGCAGGGCACAGCCAGCAACCAGCACCAGGACUGCCUUGGGACACAAGGACAGCAGGACAAGGGGCCAAGCUGAGCGUGGAGCAGCCAAGCUCCCACCCCGCAUGGAGAAAAGGGAGAAACAAAGACAAGGGGCACUGAGAGGUUUGGAGAAGUGGGAAGCAGGAUCUGGGGGGAGGCAGGAUCAGAAGUGAAAGGAGCAAAGGAAACUGGAGGGACUUCAAAGGAACGCUGCAAGCAGCACACACAGGAGCCAUCCCAAUAGGAAACGGAGCAGGAACCAGCCUGGCUGCAUCACAAGCUGCUCACUGACCCCAGGCUCGAGAAAAAACGCUUAUGGGAAGUGGGAACUAGGUCAGAUUACUAAGGGCACUUACAAGGGGAGCAUAAGCAUGUGGGGAGACAUCAGAAAGGCCAGAUUGAGAUGGAAAUGGGGAGGAAUCAUUAAGGAGAAGAAGAAAAGGCUCCAUCAGCAGGAGGAGAAUGAGCAGGGGAGCGUUGGUCUGGACCCAGGGAAGGAGGAAGGCAGCUGGCAGAGGAGGCUGGGAACUCAACGGGAUCACUGGCUUGUUUUAAAACCUUAAAUCCCAGCC